CAGAUACUCCCUCUGUUUCAAAUUACUCGUCGUAGAAAUAGAUGUAUCUAGAAUUAAAAUAUAUCUAGAUACAUCCAUAUCCAUAUCUGCGACAAGUAAUUCGGAACGAAGGAAGUAAUAU
rfam:Triticum aestivum genome assembly, contig: Triticum_aestivum_CS42_TGACv1_scaffold_642672_T_2AL-0.177496_4AL-0.164382